AUCAAACUGACGAGUCCCAAGAUAGGACGAAACGCGCGUUCUGGAU
rnacentral:hammerhead_ribozyme from 1 species